rnacentral:rRNA from 1 species
UACGUAGGGUGCAAGCGUUGUCCGGAAUUAUUGGGCGUAAAGAGCUCGUAGGCGGUUUGUCGCGUCUGCUGUGAAAACGCGAGGCUCAACCUCGCGCCUGCAGUGGGUACGGGCAGACUGGAGUGCGGUAGGGGAGAUUGGAAUUCCUGGUGUAGCGGUGGAAUGCGCAGAUACCAGGAGGAACACCGAUGGCGAAGGCAGAUCUCUGGGCCGUAACUGACGCUGAGGAGCGAAAGCGUGGGAGCAAACAGG